AACGUAGGUUCCGAGCGUUAUCCGGAUUUACUGGGCGUAAAGGGCUCGUAGGCGGCCAACUAAGUCAUACGUGAAAUCCCUCAGCUUAACUGGGGAACUGCGUGUGAUACUGGAUGGCUUGGAUUUGGGAGAGGGAUGCGGAAUUCCAGGUGUAGCGGUGAAAUGCGUAGAUAUCUGGAGGAACACCGGUGGCGAAGGCGGCAUCCUGGACCAAUAUUGACGCUGAGGAGCGAAAGCCAGGGGAGCAAACGGG
rnacentral:rRNA from 1 species